CGUUCUAAAUUAUGAUUGCUCCUUCCACGUAACUCCACCGCCUACACCCCUAGUUUCCUUCAACUGCCUCGUUAAGCGCUGUGUACGAUCCGAGACCUAGUUUCCUAUUGGCUUGUCCAUUCGCUCAGCUGUUGGCAUAGCAACUCGGGCUGGUCUGAGGCCUAUUUAACCACCCUCGAGCCUGGUGGCGUGCAAACAACACCAAUAAAGACAGCCAAGUAUGUGCUAGACAUGCUGUUAUCCCAACAACAUCCUGUGUGAUGAGGGAGACACAGACAAUACAGCCUGCUCUGUCCUAUUGUUCUUUCAUAGCCCAGGCAGGUUGGGGUAGCGCCUACACUGCUUCCAUGUGGCACUAAUCCCAACUGCCCUUCAGGCUGGCCAGAGGUGCUGCACACGCCCUGCAAUUGUCCCUGUUUUAGUUGAACAAUCUCUCUUUUCCAGAUCGCCUUUUACCGUAAUAACGGCGCCGUAAAUGAUUGUAAAGAAACUGCGAGAACAGCCCAUAAGCGAAUCAAUUCUCAUACAACAGGAUCUAAGCACCUGAUUUAAUCUGAAUGAAAUUCAUACAACAGAUUGCCAACAACCAUGACCCAAGGCUGAAGGCUAACAAAAUCCCAGAUGGGAAAAGACCUGUUGGAUUCACUUGUCCAUGCUCUUGUCAGUCCAGAAUUGUCAGUAUAUUCUCUUCUCCAAUCUCAGAACACUUAACAUCCCAUCUUAUUAUUUCUGUCUUCACUGCUAUGAGUUAUAUCUUUCAAUUUAGCACCAUCUGUUUGUUUAAUUGCUGUGCUAUUUGCAUUGU